UACACACACACACACACACAGACUGCUAAAUACACACACACACGGACUGCCGAGUACACACACACAGACUGCUAAAUACACACACUGCAUUGAGGGGUACAGUGUAUGUGUUUGUGUGUGCGGUGAUGUGUUUGUGUGUGGGGUGAUGUGUUUGUGUGUGGGGUGAUGUGUUUGUGUGGUGUGUGUGUGUGGGGUGAUGUGUGUGUGUUUGUGUGGGGUGAUAUGUGUAGGGCAGGGGUGCUGUGUGUAUGUCGUCCCCUCUCUCCCCCCCCCACUGUUUUCUUUCCCCCCAUCCCUCCCUCAUUCCCCCCCAUAUCUCUCCCUCAUUUCCCCC